rnacentral:rRNA from 1 species
GAAGAGCUCAAAUUUGUAAUCUGGCGGCCUUUGGCCGUCCGAGUUGUAGUCUCGAGAAGCGUUUUCUGCGCCGGACCGUGUACAAGUCCCUUGGAACAGGGCGUCACAGAGGGUGAGAAUCCCGUCUUUGACACGGACUGCCGGUGCUUUGUGAUGCGCUCUCAAAGAGUCGAGUUGUUUGGGAAUGCAGCUCAAAACGGGUGGUAAAUUCCAUCUAAAGCUAAAUAUUGGCGAAAGACCGAUAGCGAACAAGUACCGUGAGGGAAAGAUGAAAAGCACUUUGGAAAGAGAGUUAAACAGUACGUCAAAUUGCUGAAAGGGAAACGCUUGAAGUCAGUCGCGUCUCCCGGGACUCAGCCGUGCCCCCAUUCGGGGGGGUGUACUUUCUGGGUAUGACGGGCCCACAUUGAUUUUGGGCCGUCGGAGAAAGGGUUGGGGAAUGGGGCACCUUUGGGUGUGUUAUAACCCUGGGUCGCAUGCCAAGGGUGGGAAUCAAGGACCGCAACACGUUCUUCCUUUUGCAAAGGGGGCUUGGGGGUUCGCCACGCAAACCUUGCUUAAGAUGCUUGGCGUAAUGGCUUUAAACGAACCCGUUUUG